rnacentral:rRNA from 1 species
AGCAGCAGCCACGGUAAUACGUAGGUGGCAAGCGUUGUCCGGAAUUAUUGGGCGUAAAGGGCUCGCAGGCGGUUUCUUAAGUCUGAUGCGAAAGCCCCCGGCUCAACCGGGGAGGGUCAUUGGAAACUGGGAAACUUGAGUGCAGUAGAGGAGAGUGGAAUUCCACGUGUAGCGGUGAAAUGCGUAGAGAUGUGGAGGAACACCAGUGGCGAAGGCGACUCUCUGGUCUGUAACUGACGCUGAGGGGCGAAAGCGUGGGGAGCGAACAGGAUUAGAUACCCCGGUAGUCCCUGUCUCUUAUAC